rnacentral:rRNA from 1 species
GACGGAGGAUGCAAGCGUUGUCCGGAAUUAUUGGGCGUAAAGCGUCCGCAGGUGGCAUUUCAAGUCUGCUGUCAAACACCGGGGCUUAACCCCAGAAAGGCAGUGGAAACUGAAAAGCUAGAGAUAGGUAGGGGCAGAGGGAAUUCCCAGUGUAGCGGUGAAAUGCGUAGAGAUUGGGAAGAACACCGGUGGCGAAAGCGCUGCU